UACGUAGGGGGCUAGCGUUGUCCGGAAUUAUUGGGCGUAAAGAGCUCGUAGGCGGUCUGUCGCGUCGGUCGUGAAAACCUGCAGCUUAACUGUGGGCGUGCGGUCGAUACGGGCAUGACUGGAGUUCGGCAGGGGAGACUGGAAUUCCUGGUGUAGCGGUGAAAUGCGCAGAUAUCAGGAGGAACACCGGUGGCGAAGGCGGCGACCUGGGUAGAUACUGACGCUGAGGCGCGAAAGCGUGGGGAGCAAACAGG
rnacentral:rRNA from 1 species